rnacentral:misc_RNA from 1 species
AUGGAACAGACUCUUUUUUCACUUCAUCGUCCACAUUCUUAGCAUCAUCCAUCACGAAGCUUUCUGCAUCAUUAGGCACCUGGGGUUCCUCUAAAAUUGUGCCAGGGGUUUCUAAUUGUUCUUUUGAAGAAGAAGAGCCAUCAAUCUGACCAUCUGGAACAAGGACUUUCUCAGAUGCAGUGACAGUUAAAUUUGAGGAGUCAGAUUCAUAAGAAGACUUUCCAGCAAAGAUCUUACGAGAAAACGGCUCCUUCUUCAAGAGGAAGGAAAGGCGAGAGGAGAUCCUUCGAUCGCCAUGGAAGCCGGUGGAUUGAGAUUUGUAAAGAGAAGGCGCACAAGGCCAACGUAUCCCUGAUACAGUAUAGUAUACCAUAUCGGUGAGAGGUUGGAGAGAGAAAUGG